rnacentral:tRNA from 1 species
AGUUUUAAAAAGGGGCUGUAUUAAUUUCGACUUACAAGGUCGAUGUUUUUAUUAAACUAUUAAAAC